CGAUGUCUACUUGGAGGUUGUGCCCUUGAGGCGUGGCUUCCGGAGCUAACGCGUUAAGUAGACCGCCUGGGGAGUACGGCCGCAAGGUUAAAACUCAAAUGAAUUGACGGGGGCCCGCACAAGCGGUGGAGCAUGUGGUUUAAUUCGAUGCAACGCGAAGAACCUUACCUGGUCUUGACAUCCACAGAAGAAUCCAGAGAUGGAUUUGUGCCUUCGGGAACUGUGAGACAGGUGCUGCAUGGCUGUCGUCAGCUCGUGUUGUGAAAUGUUGGGUUAAGUCCCGCAACGAGCGCAACCCUUAUCCUUUGUUGCCAGCGGUUAGGCCGGGAACUCAAAGGAGACUGCCAGUGAUAAACUGGAGGAAGGUGGGGAUGACGUCAAGUCAUCAUGGCCCUUACGACCAGGGCUACACACGUGCUACAAUGGCGCAUACAAAGAGAAGCGACCUCGCGAGAGCAAGCGGACCUCAUAAAGUGCGUCGUAGUCCGGAUUGGAGUCUGCAACUCGACUCCAUGAAGUCGGAAUCGCUAGUAAUCGUGGAUCAGAAUGCCAC
rnacentral:rRNA from 1 species